GCGUUAACGAACGAGACCUCGACCUGCUAAAUAGUUUGGCAAAUCUUUCGGGAUUUGUACACGCUUCUUAGAGGGACUAUCGGUGUGUAGCCGAUGGAAGUUCGAGGCAAUAACAGGUCUGUGAUGCCCUUAGAUGUUCUGGGCCGCACGCGCGCUACACUGAUACGUUCAUCGAGCUUACAACCUUGACUGAGAGGUCUGGGUAAUCUUUUAAAUCGUAUCGUGCUGGGGAUAGAUUAUUGUAAUUUUUAAUCUUCAACGAGGAAUUCCUAGUAAACGCGAGUCAUCAGCUCGCAUUGAUUACGUCCCUGCCCUUUGUACACACCGCCCGUCGCUAAUACCGAUUGAAUGGAUA
rnacentral:rRNA from 1 species